GGUGAGCGGCCGGAACACAGGCCCUUUUAUGCAGCCUUCGGCCACCGCGAGCGCGCUGCCCCCUGCACAGGACCGAGGGGUGUGGGGGACAGUGUGGCCCCAUCUUCCCAACUCAGAUCUCUUCGAAACAGCCACCCGGCUGGGGUUUCCGGGGUGAAACUGACACCUGCUGCUUCCAAGCUGGGAGCUAAGUACCCUGCGAGGGGAAGGGGAGGUGUCCUGUCUGCGCCACCACCACCACCACCACGGCCUGGGGCCCUUCAGCAGUGAGAGCAUCAGAGCAUCCGCCUUCUGCGAGGCGGUUUGGCCCAGACAUCUGAAGCUCGUUAGCUGCCUGCUCCCAGGGGGCUGACUCCGCCUGGAGAGAAAUAUCCCAGCAGAGCCACAGGGGAGGGAGCAAACGAAGACCAGGUUGCUGCAUCCUUCCUUUGGCGGGUGAACACCUCUGAUGACCAAGAUUGAUGCAUUUACUUCUCAUGGGGCAAUCUUAUUACCAGCAUUUCCAAGACAGGCCCAGAGAUGGAGCCCUGCCACCCAGGUUCAUGGAGCCCUGCCGCCCAGGUUCACAGAGACUGGCCAGGCCUGAGACCACCGGGAUCCCAGGCUGAUCCUGAUUAACUACGGCAUCGCCUUCAAAUACGGAAAAUGAAUUCUACAACGGCAGAAACGUUAGCAAAUACAAACAAGCAUGGUCACUUAUGAUGGAGCAUGCGAAUGUGAGAAAAAAGACAUAUGCAUGUAUGUGUGCCUGGGUCACCUUGCUGUACGGUAGAAAAGUGACCGAACAUAGUAAAC